GGGAACGUCUUCAGUGAGAUUGAGGAGGCGUUCUCCAAAGGCAUCGGAUGGCUCAUCACCUUCUGUGCAGAGUCUGGAGACUGCCUGGAGCCUCGGACAAGGCAGAAGUUGGCGGGGAUGCUGGAUGGACUGGUGAAGGUGGGCUGGCUGGACUGUGUGAACCAGGAGCAGCUGUGCGAGAGCUUCCAGGUGAGCAGUGGAGCCACAGCCUUGUUUCCCCCAGGCAGCUCUCUUGACCAGGAGGGCAGUGUCCUGUGGCUGCACAGUCUGGACAGCAGAGAGAUCUACCAGCAAGUCCUGGAGCACUUGCCCCACCUUGAGCUGCUCAGCAU